rnacentral:rRNA from 1 species
CGGUUGAUCCUGCCGGACCCUACUGCUAUCGGGGUGGGAUUAAAACAUGCGAGUCAAACGUCUCUUAAUUCGUUGGUGGAGGCGCGGCGAACUGCUCAGUAACACGUGGCUAACCUACCCUUGGGACCGGAACAACCCCGGGAAACUGGGGAUAAUUCCGGAUAGGUGAGAAGGGCUGGAAUGCUUUUUCACUCAAAGGCGUCCGCGUUGCCCAAGGAUGGAGCCGCGGCCGAUCAGGUUGUUGGUGGGGUAACGUCUUACCAAGCCUACAACGGGUACGGGUCGUGAGAGCGGGAGCCCGGAGAUGGGUUCUGAGACACGAACCCAGGCCCUACGGGGCGCAGCAGUUGCGAAAACUCCGCAAUGCACGAAAGUGUGACGGGGCUACCCCGAGUGCCGUCCGCUGAGGAUGGCUUUUCUCCGCUGUAAGGAGGCGGAGGAAUAAGGAGAGGGCAAGACUGGUGUCAGCCGCCGCGGUAAUACCAGCUCUCCGAGUGGUAGGGGUGAUUAUUGGGCUUAAAGCGUCCGUAGCCGGCCUGGCAAGUCUUCCGUUAAAUCCAGCAACCUAAUUGUUGGGCUGCGGGGGAUACUGUUAGGCUAGGGGGCGGGAGAGGCCGACGGUAUUCUCGGGGUAGGGGUGAAAUCUUAUAAUCCCGAGAGGACCACCAGUGGCGAAGGCUGUCGGCUAGCACGCGCCUGACGGUGAGGGACGAAAGCUGGGGGAGCGAACCGGAUUAGAUACCCGGGUAGUCCCUGCUGUAAACGAUGCGAGCUAGGUGUUGGGGCGGCUACGAGCCGCUUCAGUGCCGCAGCGAAGGCGUUAAGCUCGCCGCCUGGGGAGUACGGCCGCAAGGCUGAAACUUAAAGGAAUUGGCGGGGGAGCAC